rnacentral:lncRNA from 1 species
GGGAGCUUGAGGUCCCUGAGAUGAUCUGCACGGUCCAGGGGCCUCUAGGAGGAGGAGCCAGGCACAUCCCUGGGCUGUGGCAGGUCCUGAAAGGACCCCUCCGUACCCUACUCCCCCCAGCCCUGUCCAGAUGCCUCUCCUCAGCCAGCACCCAAAGAAGGCGGUGGCUAUUUAAAUCCCUCAGGUGUGGCUGCGGUUCUUUCUGCCCAACCAGCUGGCAUCUCCCUCUCAGCGCCCACCUCCUCCAUGAGCCAGGGAAAAGCACGUGCAUUUGCCAUUUGGUGAAACAUCUGUCCUCCCGGGAAGGGGCUCCAACCCACAGUUGGAGACUGGAGUCCUCCCCUUCCCUUUAUUUCUCUCCGGAGACCACAGGGAACUGGCCGAGGCUGGGGAGGUCUGAAGUGCCACCAUCACAGUAGUGGAGGGGAAAGAAUCAGGCUGGUGGCCCUAGGGUGCAGCUGAGGCUUUGAACCUGCCAGGUCCCCUCUCUGGGUCUCAACUUUCCUAUCUGUUAAUGGGGAUAAUGAGAACAGAGGCGCUGCUGACUGGGUAUUCGGCGCCCCUUGUACCAGGUCUCUGCAAUCCCCCUCUGAAAUUGAUAGCUGCGUUCUGAUCUGACAAGAUGAGGACAGCGAGGCUCAACUUUGCUGCUUGUUCCCCCAAAUUACAUUAGCCUCCUCCCCAAAGUUCUCCUGCUUAGUACUCGGCCCUGCUUUUUUCCCACUCACCCCAUCUCCGAGCGGGCACAUUUUCAAAGCUCCCCAAGGAGAAAGGAGAAAUUCUGUACUCACUUAAAACACACGCUCUAGCCCACACCAGGCCACCUCCAUUCACUCCU